GGGGAGCUCAACCGCGCAGUCGGACACUGCACGAGUGCCGCGCAGCUGUCCGGGCCGCGUUGCGACAAGCCAGGCGACCGGAGUCAGCCUGCCAGUCUCCUCACCGCAGUGGGCGCCGGACCCACGCCAUCCCUUUUCUUCAGAUAGGAAGCACUUCGAGCCAAUUCAUCCCGUCUAUCGCUCCGCUGGGAAGUCAACCACCCGACCAACCUCAUCCCACCUCGACUGGAGCACAGUUGAGCUCCAAUUUUGGCGUUUGGCCGUUGCGGACGCCGGAGUGGCUGUUAUCGGUCGCGUGGGCUAUAACUUCCCCGAUUACUCAAUUAACUUUACCAUCAACCUCACUUAGACCUCCUCUGCACCCUGCUCACACCCACCGAACCGCUACCGUCCUCCCUUGGCCGCUGACGCAACCGCGCCACCGCGGAGCGCCGCCGAGCCGUUCAGGUCGCACGUGGCUGGCCCUCCUCCAGCGUCCUCUCCUUCAACCGUCUUCUCGGGUAGGCUGGUGGUCGUGGGCUAUGUGAAACAAUGGCAGAAGCUGCAGAUAUCAGCGGUGGAGCUCCAGGAAGAUUUGGCCAGGUUGAUGGAGAGGAUCAAAGAGUUCUAGGAAGCUAGGUUGUUCUAGUGUCUGUUAUUUGUUUCUCGAGGUUGAUGACCAACAUGUGAGAAGGCUUCGGAUGUUGCUGCUUGAAGUUCGUUCCUGUUUACUUAGCUCUUUGGGUAGGGUGUUGAAGGACGUUCUGUUAUCCUUGUUCUGUCUUUUGAUCUCUAUGUUGAUCUGCGAUUCCUGUUUCCUGAGGUCUAGUAGGAGAGGUUCCAAGUUAGGGAGGUCCGGUUUAGCUGUGGUGUUUUGUUUAGAUGCUGGUUGUUUAUGAACAUCUUGUAACAACUGGUAACCCGAGUCGAAUGCUGUUUGGUGUCUUCCAAUAUAAGCCGGGCAAAAUAUGCCUUUUAUC